rnacentral:rRNA from 1 species
GACGAACGCUGGCGGCGUGCUUAACACAUGCAAGUCGAACGGAAAGGCCCUGCUUUUGUGGGGUGCUCGAGUGGCGAACGGGUGAGUAACACGUGAGUAACCUGCCCUUGACUUUGGGAUAACUUCAGGAAACUGGGGCUAAUACCGGAUAGGAGCUCCUGCUGCAUGGUGGGGGUUGGAAAGUUUCGGCGGUUGGGGAUGGACUCGCGGCUUAUCAGCUUGUUGGUGGGGUAGUGGCUUACCAAGGCUUUGACGGGUAGCCGGCCUGAGAGGGUGACCGGCGACCUUGGGACUGAGAUACGGCCCAGACUCCUACGGGAGGCAGCAGUGGGGAAUAUUGCACAAUGGGCGUAAGCCUGAUGCAGCAACGCCGCGUGCGGGAUGACGGCCUUCGGGUUGUAAACCGCUUUCGCCUGUGCCGAAGCGUGAGUGACGGUAAUGGGUAAAGAAGCACCGGCUAACUACGUG